rnacentral:rRNA from 1 species
ACGGUCCUAAGGUAGCGAAAUUCCUUGUCGGGUAAGUUCCGACCUGCACGAAAGGCGCAACGACUUGGGCGCUGUCUCGACCAUGGACCCGGUGAAAUUGCACUGGUCGUGAAGAUGCGACUUACCCGCGGAAGGACGGAAAGACCCCGUGAACCUUCACUGCAGCUUGGCAUUGGCCGCUGGUCCCGCGUGUAGAGGAUAGGCAGGAGGCAUCGAUCCGGAGGCGCCAGCCCCCGGGGAGCCGCCCUUGGAAUACUGCCCUCGCGCGACCGGCGUCCUAACCCGAGGCCGUCAACCGGCUCGGGGACCGUGCCAGGCGGGCAGUUUGACUGGGGCGGUCGCCUCCUAAAGGGUAACGGAGGCGCGCGAAGGUCCGCUCGGGACGGUCGGCAACCGUCCUUUUGAAUGCAAGAGUACAAGCGGGCUUGACUGCGAGGCCCACAAGCCGAGCAGGUGCGAAAGCAGGCUCUAGUGAUCCGGCGGCCCCGAGUGGGUGGGCCGUCGCUCAACGGAUAAAAGGUACUCCGGGGAUAACAGGCUGAUCUUGCCCAAGAGUCCACAUCGACGGCAAGGUUUGGCACCUCGAUGUCGGCUCAUCGCAUCCUGGGGCUGGAGCAGGUCCCAAGGGUACGGCUGUUCGCCGUUUAAAGCGGUACGCGAGCUGGGUUCAGAACGUCGUGAGACAGUUCGGUCCCUAUCCUCCGUGGGCGCAGGAGAAUCGAUGGAGGCUGCCCCCAGUACGAGAGGACCGGGGUGGACGCACCUCCGGUGAACCGGUUGUCGACCAACGGCACGGCCGGGUAGCCGCGUGCGGCGCGGAUAACCGCUGAAGGCAUCUAAGCGGGAAGCCGUUCCAGGGAUUAGUUCUCCUUCCGGUAAGGGCCCAGGUAGACUACCUGGUCGAUAGACGGCAGGUGCAAGGGCGGCGACGUCCUCAGCCGAGCCGCACUAAUCGCCCGAGCUCUUCCGGAA